rnacentral:rRNA from 1 species
UGGUAGUCCAUGCCGUAAACGUUGGGCACUAGGUGUGGGGACCAUUCCACGGUUUCCGCGCCGCAGCUAACGCAUUAAGUGCCCCGCCUGGGGAGUACGGCCGCAAGGCUAAAACUCAAAGGAAUUGACGGGGGCCCGCACAAGCGGCGGAGCAUGCGGAUUAAUUCGAUGCAACGCGAAGAACCUUACCAAGGCUUGACAUGUUCUCGAUCGCCGUAGAGAUACGGUUUCCCCUUUGGGGCGGGUUCACAGGUGGUGCAUGGUUGUCGUCAGCUCGUGUCGUGAGAUGUUGGGUUAAGUCCCGCAACGAGCGCAACCCUCGUUCCAUGUUGCCAGCACGUCGUGGUGGGGACUCAUGGGAGACUGCCGGGGUCAACUCGGAGGAAGGUGAGGACGACGUCAAAUCAUCAUGCCCCUUAUGUCUUGGGCUUCACGCAUGCUACAAUGGCCGGUACAAUGGGUUGCGAUACUGUGAGGUGGAGCUAAUCCCAAAAAGCCGGUCUCAGUUCGGAUUGGGGUCUGCAACUCGACCCCAUGAAGUCGGAGUCGCUAGUAAUCGCAGAUCAGCAACGCUGCGGUGAAUACGUUCCCGGGCCUUGUACACACCGCCCGUCAAGUCACGAAAGUUGGUAACACCCGAAGCCGGUGGCCUAACCCUUGUGGG